AGCUGAGACUCUGAGCACCUAAGUGGCAUAUCAAUAUUGCACAGCAAAUAAGGAGCCAGCAUUUGAACUCAGAUUAGAGAUUGACGAAUGAACUAGAGUUGCCAACUUUUUUCAUUCACAUCACCCUCACUGAACAACUUGCAAACAUCAUAUUGUCAAGCACCAGAUCAUCUGAUGUGGGCAAGAUGUGGCUUACGGAAGGCAAGCCCCUGUUUGCUCUUGGGCUGAGUGGCCUCCCAACUGUUGGACCCCACAGCUGUUCAGAGGACCCUGCCCACGGCCACAGGAUGCCCACCACCCAGACAACUGACAGCUCAACUGGGUACCAUGCUUCCCACUGGCCAUGGAAGUCUAGAAAUGGUUUGGUGAAGAGGUGAAAAAUAAACCUUCCGCUCUG